UAACGAUACUACACACUAACUGACCUCCAGAAAUGCCCCAUAAUUCCCUUAACUGAAGUGGCCGCUCUUGUCUUUGUUGUUAACUCAGGACCCGGAAGUGCCGUUUCAAAGCUCCAGAGAACGGCUGCUUAUCUGGUCAAACAAACAGCUUGUUUGCUUGUGUGUGAGUGAGAGAGAAGCAGGGGGCUCCCUUUGGAAGUGCUGACAGUUAAUGUUUGCUUAAGAACUCCUACUGCUCCUAACUGCUGCAGCAGGAACCAAGUUACCAAACAGACCUCUGGGCCAGAUCGACCUACCAGGACCCAGGCACUGAGAUAAGGGAAAACCCAUAUGUAACCCUGUCUUAAUUGGGCUGCCACCAUAGAGAAGACUUCUAUGAAUACUUUGGGCACUGUCAUCAGUCCAAAGGGGAGGACUCUGAACUGGAAAUGCUCUUGAGCCACUAGAAAUGAAGGAACUUUUUGUGGGAAAGUUGCAUAUCUACAUGGAAAUAAGGAUUCUUCACGUCAAGAGCCAUGAACCACAUUCUCUCCUGUCCUGAACUUUGACUUUUGAAUAAAACUGUUCACCUGUUGAGGGUCCAGAAUGGGUCUCCAACCUUUGUCUUUUCUGGGGACUUAGAAGUAAGGGGAAUAGAACCCAUUUUCCUUGACACUGAGGUGGUACUGCUUCAUUGUCCCUCGUAGGAGGAGGGAUGCCUGGCAAAGAAUCACCUUAGUACAAGGAUAAAAGCUGGAGAAACAUGUGGACACAGGGAUUCCAACUUAGGCCAUGCGGCGGUAAGAAGGAACUGGAGAGGUGUUGACCCACACUACCUCUUAUGUGCUGGGUCUGGUGCACAAGGUGAACUACUGUGCAUGUGUGGGCCAGCGAACACGGCUUGUUAGAAUUUCUGGCCUCUGGAGCUUAGCACGCAUGCACACCUACACAGAGACCAGCACCUAAAGAAGAAUUUCUGCAUACAACCUGGUUAAUGGUUUUCAGUCUAAAACUAGGUCAGUUUUAUUUUUACACUACUGAUCCUUU